CACAAAUUAAAAUAUGAAGGCUUCGGCUGGAUUAUUUUUAUCACCCUUGUCUUUUGCGCACUUGUUGUUUCCUGGGCGGGUUCGCCCGCCACCAGGACCACACCAAUAAACCUUUUUUUACGCAGUUGCAAUCAGCGUCAGUAUAACAAAUGUAAAUCAUUUA
rnacentral:misc_RNA from 1 species